AAGCAUGAACUUCCAGGAAUCAUUUCUGUAGUUAUUAAUUUGAGGACUGUGCUCCUAAAGUGAUCAGUUACACCAACCAUCGUCUUGAGACUUGAAAUACUCUUCUAAGAAUGAAGCGGGCAAGAGAAGAUGACUCACUUCACUCGUCCUGUCAGUGAUGAUCUUUCUUUCCUUUUUAUUUAGGAGCAAUGAGGGGGAGAAUAUUGUCAGAGUGAU